AGAGUUUGAUCCUGGCUCAGAUUGAACGCUGGCGGCAGGCUUAACACAUGCAAGUCGAGCGGAGCGAAGGUGCUUGCACCUUAGCUUAGCGGCGGACGGGUGAGUAAUGCUUAGGAAUCUGCCUAUUAGUGGGGGACAACGUUUCGAAAGGAACGCUAAUACCGCAUACGUCCUACGGGAGAAAGCAGGGGAUCUUCGGACCUUGUGCUAAUAGAUGAGCCUAAGUCGGAUUAGCUAGUUGGUGGGGUAAAGGCCUACCAAGGCGACGAUCUGUAGCGGGUCUGAGAGGAUGAUCCGCCACACUGGGACUGAGACACGGCCCAGACUCCUACGGGAGGCAGCAGUGGGGAAUAUUGGACAAUGGGCGAAAGCCUGAUCCAGCCAUGCCGCGUGUGUGAAGAAGGCCUUUUGGUUGUAAAGCACUUUAAGCGAGGAGGAGGAGCUUCAGGUUAAUACCCUGGACGCUUGGACGUUACUCGCAGAAUAAGCACCGGCUAACCCUGUGCCAGCAGCCGCGGUAAUACAGAGGGUGCAAGCGUUAAUCGGAUUUACUGGGCGUAAAGCGUGCGUAGGCGGCUAAUUAAGUCAAAUGUGAAAUCCCCGAGCUUAACUUGGGAAUUGCAUUCGAUACUGGUUAGCUAGAGUAUGGGAGAGGAUGGUAGAAUUCCAGGUGUAGCGGUGAAAUGCGUAGAGAUCUGGAGGAAUACCGAUGGCGAAAGCAGCCAUCUGGCCUAAUACUGACGCUGAGGUACGAAAGCAUGGGGAGCAAACAGGAUUAGAUACCCUGGUAGUCCAUGCCG
rnacentral:rRNA from 1 species